AACGAACGCUGGCGGCAUGCCUAACACAUGCAAGUCGAACGAUGCCUUCGGGCAUAGUGGCGCACGGGUGAGUAACGCGUGGGAACCUGCCCUGUGGUACGGAAUAACUCCGGGAAACUGGAGCUAAUACCGUAUGUGUCCCCUGGGACAAAGAUUUAUCGCCACGGGAUGGGCCCGCGUAGGAUUAGCUUGUUGGUGGGGUAACGGCCUACCAAGGCUACGAUCCUUAGCUGGUCUGAGAGGAUGAUCAGCCACACUGGGACUGAGACACGGCCCAGACUCCUACGGGAGGCAGCAGUGGGGAAUAUUGGACAAUGGGCGCAAGCCUGAUCCAGCAAUGCCGCGUGAGUGAUGAAGGCCUUCGGGUUGUAAAGCUCUUUCGCACGCGACGAUGAUGACGGGAGCGUGAGAAGAAGCCCCGGCUAACUUCGU
rnacentral:rRNA from 1 species